UCUAGUAUAAAACUAAAAACAUCUUCUUUGUCAAUGAGAAAAUCCAGAUGAACACAUUCAGCUUGUUUGAAGUUUUAAGUUAAAAUAAAGGCCAGUCAGCUUAUUCAUCUUUUGCAGCCAAGUGUUGAUAGAGGCUCAUAAAGCCUUUUUAAUUCCAUCGUAAAGACAUCUUUAAUAGUGACAGAGGCUGUUUUGAUGUGGAGAUUGUGAGCACACACGAUAAAUGGUUCGAGUGUCUCCCUGGCCCAGUUUCAGUGUGAACAGUUAAGUGUUCAAGUGUCUCCCUGGCCCAGUUCAGUGUGAACAGUUAGAUGGUUCAGAGUGUCUCCCUGGCCCAGUUCAGUGUGAACAGUUAGAUGGUUCAGAGUGUCUCCCUGGCCCAGUUCAGUGUGAACAGUUAGAUGGUUCAGAGUGUCUCCUCUGGCCAGUUCAGUUAGAUGGUUUCAGAUGUCUCUCCCUGCCCAGUUCCAUUUAUAUGGUUCAGAGUGUCUCCCUGGCCCAAGUUCAGUUUAGAUGUGGCAGAUGUCUCCCUGGCCCAUUCAAGUGUGGACAGGUAGGAUGGUUCAGAGUGUAUCCCGGGCCCAGUUCAGUUAGAUGGGUCAGAGUGGUCGCUCCUGGGCCCAGUUCAGUUAGAUGGUUUCGAGGGUCUCGCUCCCUGGCCCAGUUCACGGGGAACAGUUAGAUGUUUAUCCUGUAACACACAGCGUUUACAGACAGAUUCAACCCAUUCCUUUGAAAGAGGUGGAAGACUAUAGAAAUGGCUCUGAUAAGCUUACAUUGUUAUUUUGAGCCAAAGCCCUGGGCUACUAUCAAAGACACUGGUUGCAUCACGUCCAAUGUAAUAAAAUAUGCCAACUGAAAGCCUUUUUCAGAGAGGUAUUUUGUUCUGCAGUGUAGCUGGUUUUAGAAAGUGGCUAUCGGAGGGUCUAAUUAGCUACCACCCGCGCGCCCACCCCUAAACUAUAAUCAAAGGGGGAGGGGCUACGACAUAAAUGGCUUACUGUGUGUGUGAGAGAGAGAAAGGGCUUCUGGGGGCUGUAGUUUCCCUAGACAUCACAACACCACUAUACUGUUAAGUAGCAGUAGUUUACGUCAUGAUGCAGAGUCUCACAACAAGUAUGGCUACAGUUGGCUUCUGGGCUGAGAGGCUUUAACAAGCAGCCCUGUGUUCCUAAGCAGUUGGCUUCUGGGCUGAGAGGCUUUAACAAGCAGCCCUGUGUUCCUAAGG
rnacentral:lncRNA from 1 species